UACGUAGGGUGCAAGCGUUGUCCGGAAUUAUUGGGCGUAAAGAGCUCGUAGGCGGUUUGUCGCGUCUGCUGUGAAAACUCGGGGCUUAACUCCGGGCCUGCAGUGGGCACGGGCAGACUAGAGUGGCGGUAGGGGAGACUGGAAUUCCGUGGUGAUAGCGGUGAAAUGCGUAGAGAGUCGGGAAGGAAUGACCUAUGGCGAAAGCAGGCAUCUGGGCCAUCAACUGACGCUGGAG
rnacentral:rRNA from 1 species